GACGAACGCUGGCGGCGUGCUUAACACAUGCAAGUCGAACGAGGCCCCUCCUUCGGGAGGGUGUUCUAGUGGCGAACGGGUGAGUAACACGUGGGCAACCUGCCCCCCGGCUCUGGGAUAACCCCAAGAAAUUGGGGCUAAUACCGGAUAUGACCGCUGACCGCAUGGUCUGGUGGUGGAAAGUUUUUCGGCUGGGGAUGGGCCCGCGGCCUAUCAGCUUGUUGGUGGGGUAGUGGCCUACCAAGGCGACGACGGGUAGCCGGCCUGAGAGGGUGACCGGCCACACUGGGACUGAGACACGGCCCAGACUCCUACGGGAGGCAGCAGUGGGGAAUAUUGCGCAAUGGGCGGAAGCCUGACGCAGCGACGCCGCGUGGGGGAUGACGGCCUUCGGGUUGUAAACCUCUUUCAGGAGGGACGAAGCCACGGCGGUUAACAGCCGACCGUGGUGACGGUACCUCCACAAGGAGCCCCGGCUAACUAC
rnacentral:rRNA from 1 species